rnacentral:lncRNA from 1 species
AUGGAAUCAAUGGAAACACCCAAAAUUAAUAACUGCAGGGAAGUGGGCCCAGCCUGGGACACUGCACACAGGAUGGAAGCCAAAGACUGCUUUACAGUGGGAUUUGAUCCCAGUAGAUCUGGAGUUCAAGCUGGUAUUUUAGGAGCAGAAUAUGACUGAACAGCUCAUUAACUACAGGUUUCAGUCCAGGGACUGUGCUGGCCAUUCACUACCAGGGUCAAAUGCUGACCAUGUCCAUGGAGUCUUGCAGCCUCUGAGGCUGCCUGAGCAUGAUCUUCAAUAGCAUCAGCAAACUGUGUGAGCUCCUCCCAGAGCAG